GUGGCAUCUCAUUUCAACCUGAAGGAGAAGGAGUACUUUGGAAUUGCAUUCACAGAUGAAACGGGACACUUGAACUGGCUUCAGCUGGACCGCCGAGUGCUGGAACAUGACUUCCCC